CACGCCAUGAACCAUCUGAAUGAAACUCGCAGACCACUGGCAGUCUACGGUCCACAGUUGGGGAAUCAUUACCCUAACAGAUCAAUCUUACACAUGCUUGCUUGGAAGUAAGGGCCAUACUGGACAAUAUGUUAACUACCCCUAAAGUUUAGUGGGCUGUUGUUGUUUACAUGAGAGCUUGCAGUCUAUGGCUUCUUAGCACCAUGCACACUUACAUGGAACAGGGAGUGAGCCCCACCCCGCUCCAAAUGCAGAGGGGUUUAUUUCCAAGUAAUCCUGCACAGGAGUCAGCUUCAAGCGUGCAACAACAAACUUUAGCUCACCAUCUGCAAACUCCUUACAAGCACUGUAAACUCUCGAAAUGACUCCUGUCCUCAGUUUCACUUCCCUGCUUGUUUUUGCCAGAAAAGCACCCCUGUAAAGAACACUUUGGGUUUAUACUAAUCAUUACUGAUACUCAGUGGCCUGCUUCUUCCAGAAUAUGUUGUAGUUUAAGGGUGGUGGGAAUUGUAGCUCUAUGAAAGGAUGAACUACAGUUCCCAUGAUUAUUGAGGGGGGGGGCAUGUCUUGAAGUGUAUGGUGUGUACACAGUAUCAACCUCUAGUCCUUUUUCUUAUAGAUAUAUAAGGAGGGAAAUCUGCAAACAACAUUCUGCCUGGAGUGAUUGUAAUGAUUUGCAGACAUCUCUUUACAAGAGGAUUUAGGGUGGGAGUUUGGAGAUGAUGCCUGAACAAUGGUGGAAGUGUACCCACUGCAUGGCUGAGAGGACUCCAGCAGAGAACUGUUGUUUGUUGCAACUACUUCGUCACAAAACCACCAUGUUAACUAUUGCCUCAAUACAGUGAACUCAAACUCAAACCUAGGUCCUCUAGCCAAUGAGUGCAAAAUGACUGAGAUUACUGGCCAAAAUUACCUUCAAAGCAUUACGGUACAACACUGAACAGUCAUAGCUCCCCCGAAUGAUUCCUGGAAACUGCAGUCUGCUCAGGGCACUGAGACUUGUUAGGAGACCCCUAUUCCCCUCACUGAACUUCAAUUCCCAGAUUUCCCUGGAGAUUUCCACUCAGGGACUUGUAAGCAAAGCCAGCCCUGGAGAAACAGCGCCCUGGGCAAGGAGUGCCUCCUACUGUGGUCAGCUUUCCAAAGGGUUUAUGGCACCUGGAGCAGGUGUGAUCUUUGGGGCCCUUCUGCUGCCACACCCCUACAAGGGCCCAUGCAUGCACGCACAAAAGCUCAGGCCGACAUGCAAUAAUCACUGCAUUCACGGACGACAAAUUUUCAAAUUCUGUGGCUGCUCCUCACCCUGAGUACCUCCGCCAAAUCCCAAUCCCGUUGUGGCAGAGCUUCUUUCUAAACUAAGCUAAGCCUCAUAGGUCUUGCUGGCUGUGGCCUUCUCAAGAAGGAAGGCCUGGCCUCAUACCAAUAAUGCGCCUUUUUUGUGGCCACAGAAAAAUUAUUCUCCAGUGGCAACUUGCCUGGAAAUCUUAGGCGCUCACUCACCAUUGGUGGCCAAUGGUAUGUGCAGGAACCAAGGAACCCUGGUUUGCGCGGGCCCCCCAAUUGCCCCCUCCAGGCAGGUCUGCAGCUUUGCAGCGUUACCAAGUUGUGUGGCUUGUGCAGGAUUGCAAAACAAGCCUGCUUCUCCCAGACUUCCCCCCCCUCCCCUGCAGUAUCUAUGAGAAGGUCUCCACAAACUGAGCUACCUCUUCUUUGCACUGUUCUGCUUUCAGUGCAUUCCUACAGUUUCAGGAUCCCCAGGGAAGCUUUCAUCUUGUGGGGUGGCUCUCAAAGGAUUACUCUCAUGGAGUCAUGGGCCAAUGUGCUUUAUUAUGUUCUGCACACACACAAAAUGGCUCCUCCUGCAAGUUCUCCUCUCUGAGCACCAACACUCCCUUACUCAUUUGCAACAAGUAGGCACCCUCUUGGAGUGCUAUAACUAGUCUUCCUUUUAUGUGCAGUAUAUAGAAAUCUUUUUAUUUAUUUAAACAAGAACCUGUACUUUAAUAUCACGCAGGAAUUAGUCUUGUGUAUCACUAGCAUUAAAGGGACAGACUCUCAGGCUGGGGAACUUUUUAGGUUUCUUUUCGUUAUGGGGGUUGUUGCUGUUACGGAUAUUCAUGUUUCUUUAUUUUAGAUCUUGUGAUUUAUGUGGAAAUUGUUUCAGUUCGGUUGUGUACUUUGUUUUAUUCAUUGUUAUGACAACUUUUAUUAUGUUUGUAAUUGUGUAACUUUCUCCAUGUUAUAAGCCGCCUUGGGCAUGGCUUGGACUAUGGAAAAGCAGCAUGCAAAUAAAAUGAUCACUAUAUACUUUUUAAAAAGUUUUUAUUUAUACUUUUCAAGUUUACACAUUUCUUUAAUUUUACAAUCAUUUUAACAUUUCAAAGUUUGACUUCCUUCCCCCUCUUUCUGCUGUCCCUUAAAUUAUUUUUUUAACAUCUUCUGCAUAUCCAAAUUCAUUUAACUUACUCAUUUAAUUAUCCACUUUAAAUAAAUACCCUUAUGAAACUGCAGGUUGUUACUAUAACCCUGCCAAUGUUUUUAAUCUGUUUGCAAUUUAUCUGUAAAUAUUCAAUGAACCAUUUUCAUUCUUUUAUAAAAAGUUUGUUAUCUUGAUUUCUUAUUCUUCUGGUAUAUACUAGCCUCCCAAGCUGUAGCGUCCUCUUCAGUCUUCUUCCCUUGCCGCUUUCCCCCCCUUCUUUUGUUUUACAAGUGCCCCAAAACAUUUUUGCCCAAUGCACGAACUUGAGAUUAAGAAUCUCAUGCUCUACUGACUGAGCUAUGUGGGAACUUCUGAGAACAAACUCAAAAAAUGCAACGUGGCUCCCUCCUCAGCUCAGUGCAGGCAUUUGGUUUUUCCACCUUAGUUCACUGCAGACAGUACAUGGGGGGAAGCCCAGCCACUGAGCUCAGCUCAGCACCCCAGAUGAACACCUAGCACACCCACCUGCUAACUCUGUGAGGGGAAUAGGGGUUUCCUUUUUUUAUAUAAAUUUUAUUUUCAAUGCAAAAUUACAACAAAAAUUGCAAACAUCGAAUCCAAAAUAAAAC